AAAAAAAGACACCCUGGCUUCCAUGCCCAACGUUUGACCGUCCGUCUUAUUUAAAAAAAUUAUGAAAAAAAUUAAAAAGACAAGUCACACAUAAAAUAUUAAUAAUAUUUUUUUAUUUAAAAGAAUUAUAAAAAAAUUUCAUACAAGACGGACAGUUAAAGUUGGACACGAAAAUAUAUAGGGUUUGUUUUU
rfam:Oryza sativa Japonica Group DNA, chromosome 7, cultivar: Nipponbare, complete sequence.